rnacentral:rRNA from 1 species
ACAGGGAUUGCCCUAGUAACGGCGAGUGAAGCGGCAACAGCUCAAAUUUGAAAUCUGGCUUCGGCCCGAGUUGUAAUUUGCAGAGGAAGCUUUAGGCGCGGCACCAUCUGAGUCCCCUGGAACGGGGCGCCAUAGAGGGUGAGAGCCCCGUAUAGAUGGACGCCUAGCCUGUGUAAAGCUCCUUCGACGAGUCGAGUAGUUUGGGAAUGCUGCUCAAAAUGGGAGGUAAAUUUCUUCUAAAGCUAAAUACCGGCCAGAGACCGAUAGCGCACAAGUAGAGUGAUCGAAAGAUGAAAAGCACUUUGAAAAGAGGGUUAAAUAGCACGUGAAAUUGUUGAAAGGGAAGCGCUUGUGACCAGACUUGCGCCGGGCUGAUCAUCCGGUGUUCUCACCGGUGCACUCUGCCCGGCUCAGGCCAGCAUCGGUUCUCGCGGGGGGAUAAAGGCCCUGGGAACGUAGCUCCUCCGGGAGUGUUAUAGCCCAGGGUGUAAUGCCCUCGCGGGGACCGAGGUUCGCGCAUCUGCAAGGAUGCUGGCGUAAUGGUCAUCAGCGACCCGUCUUGAAACACGGACCAAGGAGUCAAGGUUUUGCGCGAGUGUUUGGGUGUAAAACCCGCACGCGUAAUGAAAGUGAACGUAGGUGAGAGCUUCGGCGCAUCAUCGACCGAUCCUGAUGUUUUCGGAUGGAUUUGAGUAGGAGCGUUAAGCCUUGGACCCGAAAGAUGGUGAACUAUGCUUGGAUAGGGUGAAGCCAGAGGAAACUCUGGUGGAGGCUCGCAGCGGUUCUGACGUGCAAAUCGAUCGUCAAAUCUGAGCAUGGGGGCGAAAGACUAAUCGAACCAUC